rnacentral:rRNA from 1 species
UACGAAGGGGGCUAGCGUUGCUCGGAAUCACUGGGCGUAAAGGGUGCGUAGGCGGGUCUUUAAGUCAGGGGUGAAAUCCUGGAGCUCAACUCCAGAACUGCCUUUGAUACUGAAGAUCUUGAGUUCGGGAGAGGUGAGUGGAACUGCGAGUGUAGAGGUGAAAUUCGUAGAUAUUCGCAAGAACACCAGUGGCGAAGGCGGCUCACUGACCCGGUACUGACGCUGAGGUGCGAAAGCGUGGGGAGCAAACAGG